rnacentral:rRNA from 1 species
GACGAACGCUGGCGGCGUGCUUAACACAUGCAAGUCGAACGGAAAGGCCCUGCUUUUGUGGGGUGCUCGAGUGGCGAACGGGUGAGUAACACGUGAGUAACCUGCCCUUGACUUUGGGAUAACUUCAGGAAACUGGGGCUAAUACCGGAUAGGAGCUUCUGCUGCGUGGUGGGGGUUGGAAAGUUUCGGCGGUUGGGGAUGGAUUCGCGGGUUACCGGCUUGUUGGUGGGGUUGGUGCAUACCAAGGGUUUGACGGGUAGGCCGCCUGGGAGGGGGGACGGGCACAAUAGGCCUGAGGGAGGGACCAGGAUGCUACCGGCGGCAAUGGGGGGGAAUCUGACAGAACGGGGCGGAGCGAGAGGGGAAGACCCCCGGGUCGGGAUGACGGCCUUCGGGUUGUAAACCGCUUUCGACUGUGACGAAGCGUGAGUGACGGUAAUGGGUAAAGAAGCAACGGCUAACUACGUG